UACAGAGGGGGCAAGCGUUGUUCGGAAUUACUGGGCGUAAAGCGCACGUAGGCGGCUUUGUAAGUUAGAGGUGAAAGCCCGGAGCUCAACUCCGGGAUUGCCUUUAAGACUGCAUCGCUUGAAUCCAGGAGAGGUGAGUGGAAUUCCGAGUGUAGAGGUGAAAUUCGUAGAUAUUCGGAAGAACACCAGUGGCGAAGGCGGCUCACUGGACUGGUAUUGACGCUGAGGUGCGAAAGCGUGGGGAGCAAACAGG
rnacentral:rRNA from 1 species